GCUGGGCGCAGCCUGAUCCAGCCAUACCGCGUGGGUGAAGAAGGCCUUCGGGUUGUAAAGCCCUUUUGUUGGGAAAGAAAUCCAGCCGGCUAAUACCUGGUUGGGAUGACGGUACCCAAAGAAUAAGCACCGGCUAACUUCGUGCCAGCAGCCGCGGUAAUACGAAGGGUGCAAGCGUUACUCGGAAUUACUGGGCGUAAAGCGUGCGUAGGUGGUUGUUUAAGUCUGUUGUGAAAGCCCUGGGCUCAACCUGGGAACUGCAGUGGAAACUGGACAACUAGAGUGUGGUAGAGGGUAGCGGAAUUCCCGGUGUAGCAGUGAAAUGCGUAGAGAUCGGGAGGAACAUCCAUGGCGAAGGCAGCUACCUGGACCAACACUGACACUGAGGCACGAAAGCGUGGGGAGCAAACAGGAUUAGAUACCCUGGUAGUCCACGCCCUAAACGAUGCGAACUGGAUGUUGGGUGCAAUUUGGCACGCAGUAUCGAAGCUAACGCGUUAAGUUCGCCGCCUGGGGAGUACGGUCGCAAGACUGAAACUCAAAUGAAUUGACGG
rnacentral:rRNA from 1 species